UUUCCCUCUUCUAUUUUCUAUCUUCUUUAUUUUUGGCCUAUUUUCUUCCCUAUUUUCUUCUUUUUCUUCCCUAUUUUCUAUCUUCUUUUUUGCCUAUUUUCUUCUCAUUUUUUCCCUGUUUUCUUCUUUUUUUUCCCUAUUUUCCUCUUUUUUCCCAAUUUUCUUCUUUUUAAUUUGCUUUUUUUUUGGCUUAUUUUCUUUUUUCUUUUUCUUUUUGCUUAUUUUCUUUUUUCUUUUUUUUUGCUUAUUUUCUUUUUUCUUUUUUUUUUUGCUUAUUUUCUUUUUUCUUUUUUUUGCUUAUUUUCUUUUUUUUGCUUUUUUUUUUCCUUUUUUGGCUUAUUUUCUUUUUUUGCUUUUUUUUUUUUUCCUUUUUUUGCUGUUUUUUUUCUUUUGGCUUAUUUUUUCUUUUUUCUUUGCUUAUUUUUUUUCUUUUUUUUUUUUGCCUAUUUUCUUCUUUUUUCCCUAUUUUCUUCCUUAUUUUCCCCCUAUUUUCUUCUUCUUUUUUUUGCCUAUUUUCUUAUUUUUGCCUAUUUUCUUGCUUAUUUUUCCCCUAUUUUCUUCUUUCUUUUGCCUAUUUUCUUGCUUAUUUUUCCCCAUUUACUUCUUUUUUUUUUUGCCUAUUUUCUUCUUUUUUCCCUAUUUUCUUCUUAUUUUCCCUAUUUCUUCUUGUAUUUUCCUCUUUACCAUCUCCUUCCUUUUUCCUAUGCUCAUUUUUUUCUAUUUUCUUGGAUUUUCCCCUAUUUUUUAAGUAUUCUUCUAUUUUCUCGUUUUCCUAACUCACUUUUUGUUUCCAUUUUCUUUCUUUUCCACUUCAUUUCUCUAUUGCCUUCUUUCAUUUCUCUUAUUUUCUACCUUCUCUCUUUUUUUUUCCUAUUUCCUCUUCUAUUUUUUCUGCUUUUCUUCUAUUUUCUCCUCUCUUCUAAUUUUCUUCUAUUUUUCCUAUUUUCUCUUCUAUUUUUUCUGCUUCUCUUCCAUUUUUUCCCCCCCCCCCCCCCCUUAAAAGCUGCCAUUUAAAGGCAAAAAAUGCGGAAUCUGAGGGCGGUCUUUAUGUGGCGGAGCGAUACGAGGUGAUGCGGCUCAGUCCGGUUCCGACCGGCGUCUGGUGGCGCAGUGCCGCUCUGCGCAUGCGCACCCCCCUCCCCCUCCCACCGCAGAGCCGCUCGACGCAUGCGCAACAGCGCCCCCACAGCCGCAGUCCUCCACGCAUGCGCAUCAGACCCCCCCCCAUAGCUGCAAUGACCCCCUCAUUAUACCUCAGGUAGAAGCCUUUUAUUUUGCUUUAAAACCCCUAAAAUUCCUCUUUUUCCUUCCCUUCGCCAUCGAGAAACCCUUCUAUUCUUCUAUUACUAAAAAACAACGCUCAAAAUCCCUUUUUCC
rnacentral:lncRNA from 1 species